AAACCAACACAAUCAAUUGUAUCUUCGGUUUGGUACUCUCCCUCGACUUGAUGUUAUGCGAACCGGUUCGGCAACUCCAUCAGAAUUUUGAAGUAUUUCUGGUCAUCGUGUUUAACGAAGUGUUCCAAGAGACAUAAACCCUAAUAGCACUCACUCACUCCAUUUGUAAAAUUUGCCGUCUCCGUCUCCGUCUCUGGUCGCCGGUAUCUUCCAACACACAAAACCCAUCAGGUGAUUUCUCAUUCUUCGCUCCUUUCUGAUCUAAAAACCUUUUCUUUUUGGGACUUUAUCGAGUGCCGCUAAAUCAAGAUUCUAACGAUUUGUUUCUCAAAUGGGUUCUCAUACUUAGAUUCCGAGGUUGUUUGCAAAAAUGAUAUCUAAAGAAUGAUCACACAAUUGGUCGGCCUGGGCGAAUGUACCGAACCGAAAUUGAAAAAAAAAAAAAACGAAUCGAACCGAACCGAAAGUUUGAAAAUAACCGAAUGGAUACUAAUUCAAUAACCGAAAUAACCGUAACCGAAUCGGUACCGAACCAAAAUAUUUCGGAUAACCGAAAUAUCCGAAAUAGAAUUAUAUUUUCAAAAUAAUUAGUUAUUUAUAGACCAAAUAAUCAAAAAUACUUAAAAAUAUAUAUAAAAAUAGU
rnacentral:lncRNA from 1 species